ACUCCUACGGGAGGCAGCAGUGGGGAAUUUUGGACAAUGGGCGCAAGCCUGAUCCAGCCAUGCCGCGUGCAGGAUGAAGGCCUUCGGGUUGUAAACUGCUUUUGUACGGAACGAAACGGCUCUUUCUAAUAAAGAGGGCUAAUGACGGUACCGUAAGAAUAAGCACCGGCUAACUACGUGCCAGCAGCCGCGGUAAUACGUAGGGUGCGAGCGUUAAUCGGAAUUACUGGGCGUAAAGCGUGCGCAGGCGGUGAUGUAAGACAGAUGUGAAACUCCCCCGGGCUCAACCUGGGAACUGCAUUUGUGACUGCAUCGCUGGAGUGCGGCAGAGGGGGAUGGAAUUCCGCGUGUAGCAGUGAAAUGCGUAGAUAUGCGGAGGAACACCGGAUGGCGAAGGCAACGUCCCCUGGGCCUGCACUGACGCUCAUGCACGAAAGCGUGGGAGCAAACAGGAUUAGA
rnacentral:rRNA from 1 species